GUACUGAUCAAGAGUCCCAAACUAGGACGAAACAGUUGUCCAGUAC
rfam:Trichobilharzia regenti genome assembly, scaffold: TRE_contig0014357